GCUNCUGUGCCUAAUACAUGCAAGUCGAGCGAACAGAGAAGGAGCUUGCUCCUUUGACGUUAGCGGCGGACGGGUGAGUAACACGUGGGCAACCUACCUUAUAGUUUGGGAUAACUCCGGGAAACCGGGGCUAAUACCGAAUAAUCUAUUUUACUCCAUGGUAAAAUACUGAAAGACGGUUUCGGCUGUCGCUAUAAGAUGGGCCCGCGGCGCAUUAGCUAGUUGGUGAGGUAACGGCUCACCCAAGGCGACAGAUAGCAGUAGCCGACCUGAGAGGGUGAUCGGCACACUUGGGACUGAGACACGGCCAGACUCCUAACGGGGAGCGCNAGCACGUACGGGAANAUCUUACCCACAAAUGGGGACGGAAACAGGNCCUUGAAUGUAGAAGCCAAACGCCGGCGUUGAGUUUGACA
rnacentral:rRNA from 1 species